rnacentral:rRNA from 1 species
GACGAACGCUGGCGGCGUGCUUAACACAUGCAAGUCGAACGGAAAGGCCCUGCUUUUGUGGGGUGCUCGAGUGGCGAACGGGUGAGUAACACGUGAGUAACCUGCCCUUGACUUUGGGAUAACUUCAGGAAACUGGGGCUAAUACCGGAUAGGAGCUCCUGCUGCAUGGUGGGGGUUGGAAAGUUUCGGCGGUUGGGGAUGGACUCGCGGCGUAUCAGCUUGUUGGUGGGGUAGUGGCUUACCAAGGCUUUGACGGGUAGCCGGCCUGAGAGGGUGACCGGCCACAUUGGGACUGAGAUACGGCCCAGACUCCUACGGGAGGCAGCAGUGGGGAAUAUUGCACAAUGGGCGGAAGCCUGAUGCAGCAACGCCGCGUGCGGGAUGACGGCCUUCGGGUUGUAAACCGCUUUCGCCUGUGACGAAGCGUGAGUGACGGUAAUGGGUAAAGAAGCACCGGCUAACUACGUGCCAGCAGCCGCGGUGAUACGUAGGGUGCGAGCGUUGUCCGGAUUUAUUGGGCGUAAAGGGCUCGUAGGUGGUUGAUCGCGUCGGAAGUGUAAUCUUGGGGCUUAACCCUGAGCGUGCUUUCGAUACGGGUUGACUUGAGGAAGGUAGGGGAGAAUGGAAUUCCUGGUGGAGCGGUGGAAUGCGCAGAUAUCAGGAGGAACACCAGUGGCGAAGGCGGUUCUCUGGGCCUUUCCUGACGCUGAGGAGCGAAAGCGUGGGGAGCGAACAGGCUUAGAUACCCUGGUAGUCCACGCUGUAAACGGUGGGUACUAGGUGUGGGGUCCAUUCCACGGGUUCCGUGCCGUAGCUAACGCUUUAAGUACCCCGCCUGGGGAGUACGGCCGCAAGGCUAAAACUCAAAGGAAUUGACGGGGCCCCGCACAAGCGGCGGAGCAUGCGGAUUAAUUCGAUGCAACGCGUAGAACCUUACCUGGGUUUGACAUGGAUCGGGAGUGCUCAGAGAUGGGUGUGCCUCUUUUGGGGUCGGUUCACAGGUGGUGCAUGGCUGUCGUCAGCUCGUGUCGUGAGAUGUUGGGUUAAGUCCCGCAACGAACGCAACCCUUGUUCACUGUUGCCAGCACGUUAUGGUGGGGACUCAGUGGAGACCGCCGGGGUCAACUCGGAGGAAGGUGGGGAUGACGUCAAGUCAUCAUGCCCCUUAUGUCCAGGGCUUCACGCAUGCUACAAUGGCUGGUACAGAGAGUGGCGAGCCUGUGAGGGUGAGCGAAUCUCGGAAAGCCGGUCUCAGUUCGGAUUGGGGUCUGCAACUCGACCUCAUGAAGUCGGAGUCGCUAGUAAUCGCAGAUCAGCAACGCUGCGGUGAAUACGUUCCCGGGGCU